UACGGGGGAUGCAAGCGUUAUCCGGAAUUAUUGGGCGUAAAGGGUCCUGGGGUGGCUAGCCAAGUCUAUUGUGAAAUAUCAGGGCUUAACCCUGAACAUGCGGUGGAAACUAGAAAGCUUGAGUACAGUAGGGGCGGAGGGAAUUUCCGGUGGAGCGGUGAAAUGCAUAGAUAUCGGGAAGAACACCAACGGCGAAAGCACUCCGCUGGGCUGAUACUGACACUGACAGACGAAAGCUAGGGUAGCGAAAGGG
rnacentral:rRNA from 1 species